rnacentral:SRP_RNA from 1 species
UUGUGCUAGGCGGGGAGCCAGCGGUGCCCUAUACCCGAAAUCCGCUUUAUGCGGGGCUGAAGUCCCCCCCUAGGGUGAAUCCAGACAAAUUGAGCCAUUUUGACCGGCCGCCGCGCAACAGACGGUCUCGAACCUCGUCAGGUCCGGAAGGAAGCAGCGAUAAGGGAUGCGGUCUGUGUCGUGGAUCGAUCCCGGUCAACCGAUGGCGCCGAUUUUUCAGGUCCGCUCGACGGGGGGUGCACAA